UAAAAUUACCACCCAGAAAUGCAAAUUAAGC
rnacentral:piRNA from 1 species